ensembl:lncRNA
GCCGUGGUAGCCUGCAAACCAGGCAGAGAGGAGAGAGAGACAGGGAGGCAGGGAGGCAGGGAGAGGGAUACAGACAGAUAGAGAGCUGGAGGCAGGGAGGCAGGGAGGCAGGGAGAGGGAUACAGACAGAUAGAGAGCUGGAGGCAGGGAGGCAGGGAGGCAGGGAGGCAGGGAGAGGGAUACAGACAGAUAGAGAGAUGGAGGAAGGGAGAGGGAUACAGACAGAUAGAGAGAUGGAGGCCGGGAGGCAGGGAGAGGGAUACAGACAGAUAGAGAGAUGGAGGAAGGGAGAGGGAUACAGACAGAUAGAGAGCUGGAGGCAGGGAGAGGGAUACAGACAGAUAGAGAGCUGGGGACAGGGAGAGGGAUACAGACAGAUAGAGAGAUGGAGGCAGGGAGGCAGGGAGAGGGAUACAGACAGAUAGAGAGCUGGAGGCAGGGAGAGGGAUACAGACAGAUAGAGAGCUGGAGGCAGGGAGGCAGGGAGAGGGAUACAGACAGAUAGAGAGCUGGGGGCAGGGAGAGGGAUAUAGACAGAGAGAGAGAGAUGGAGUCAGGGAGGCAGGGAGAGGGAUACAGAG